rnacentral:rRNA from 1 species
AGUGAACGCUGGCGGUAGGCCUAACACAUGCAAGUCGAACGGCAGCACAGUAAGAGCUUGCUCUUACGGGUGGCGAGUGGCGGACGGGUGAGGAAUACAUCGGAAUCUACUUUUUCGUGGGGGAUAACGUAGGGAAACUUACGCUAAUACCGUAUACGACCUACGGGUGAAAUCAGGGGAUCUUCGGACCUUGCGCGAUUGAAUGAGCCGAUGUCGGAUUAGAUAGUUGGCGGGGUAAAGGCCCACCAAGGCGACGAUCCGUAGCUGGUCUGAGAGGAUGAUAAGCAACACGGGAAGUGAGAAAGGGACCAGACAACUACGGGAGGCAGCAGUGGGGAAUAGUGGACAAUGGGCGCAAGCAUGAUCCAGCAAUACCGAGUGGGUGAAGAAGGACUUCGGGUUGGAAAGACCUUUUGUUGGGAAAGAAAAGAAGCAGGUUAAUACCCCGCUGUAAUGACGGUAACAAAAGAAUAAGCACCGGCUAACUUCGUG